GUCCACGCCCUAAACGAUGAUUACUCGAUGUGUGCGAUAUACUGUACGCGUCUGAGCGAAAGCAUUAAGUAAUCCACCUGGGGAGUACGACCGCAAGAUUGAAACUCAAAGGAAUUGACGGGGGGCCCGCACAAGCGGAGGAGCAUGUGGUUUAAUUCGAUGAUACGCGAGGAACCUUACCUGGGCUUGAAAGUUAGUGAAGCAAGCAGAAACGUUUGCGUCAGAAAUGACACGAAACUAGGUGCUGCAUGGCUGUCGU
rnacentral:rRNA from 1 species